rnacentral:rRNA from 1 species
AGGUUAAGCUGGUAAGAGCACACGGAGGAUGCCUAGGCGCUAGGAGCCGAAGAAGGACGUGGCGAACAACGAUAUGCCCCGGGGAGUCGUAAGCAGACUUUGAUCCGGGGAUGUCCGAAUGGGGGAACCCGGCUGCGGUUAUGCGCAGUCACUCACUUCUGAAUCCAUAGGAAGUGAAGAGGCAGACCAGGGGAACUGAAACAUCUAAGUACCCUGAGGAGAAGAAAACAAUCGUGAUUCCGUCAGUAGCGGCGAGCGAAAGCGGAGGAGCCCAAACCAGAGAGCUUGCUCACUGGGGUUGUGGGACACCUUAUACGGAGUUACAAAGGAGCAGAUUAGGCGAAGAGGUCUGGAAAGGCCUGCCACAGAAGGUAACAGCCCUGUAGCUGAAAGUCUGCUCUCUCCAAGGUGGAUCCCGAGUACGGCGGGACACGGGAAACCCCGUCGGAAUCCGGCAGGACCAUCUGCCAAGGCUAAAUACUCCCUAGCGACCGAUAGUGAAGCAGUACCGUGAGGGAAAGGUGAAAAGCACCCCGGGAGGGGAGUGAAAGAGAACCUGAAACCGUGUGCUUACAAGAAGUCAGAGCCCUAUGAUUUUCUUCGGGAAAUCAGGGUGAUGGCGUGCCUUUUGUAGAAUGAACCGGCGAGUUACGCUUGCAUGCAAGGUUAAGGUGAAGAGCCGGAGCCGCAGCGAAAGCGAGUCUGAA